rnacentral:sRNA from 1 species
AAGAAGCCCUGAAGCUCUUCUGCGAGGUAGACGAAGAGGCCAUCUGUGUGGUGUGCCGAGAAUCCAGGAGCCACAAACAGCACAGCGUGGUGCCAUUGGAGGAGGUGGUGCAGGAGUACAAGGUGAGAGAAGUACAGAGAGAAGACGGGAGUUUAGUGGGGGGGCGGAGAGGAAGUAAGGGGACCUGGGAAAAGGAAACAUCUCUUCACCCACCAAAGAACCUCAUGGUAUUGGUGAGCUGAGUUUGCUUAUCUAAGCACUUAGGGCCACCAAGGUGGAUUAGAAUGAGAAGGAUUCUGUACACAGAGCAGAUGCAGUGAAGAAUGGCUUCCUCAAAGCAAAUAGAGCAAAGCCGGUGAUGCCAGAUCAGGUCUCUAGGGCUUUACCAGAAGUCUCGUUUUCUUUCGGGUGAGUCUUAAGUCUGUCCUUGACGGAGACACCUAGAGAUGGAAAGAACUGGGGGCUUCAAAGGACAAGAAAAGGCUCAGAAGAAGGAACACAGAGAUAACUGCUAGUGUCAGUGUCAGACCCAAAUGCCCUGCACUUGCCUCCCAGUGGGUUCCCCACCUACCACGAUAUGGCUUGGUUCUGUCUUCAAGGACUUUGGUUGGCUCUGUGUCAUUCUUAUGCACUGACUAGAAAGGAGGAGCUUUUCAGUCAGAAGACCUGGCUCUGCAAGUUGCAUUGUCAAAUCUUGAUUAAGUCUGUGAGUGUCUUUGGACUUUAAUUUGUCCAGGAUUGAUAGUUAAUAUUCACUGGACAUUUAUAUGUAUACCAGGCACUGUACUAGGCACUUUUCAUGGACUGUCUCGUUAAAACCCAGACAACCCUGAGUUUGAUAUGUUUUCCAUUCCCAUUUUAUAGAUUGGGAAACAAAGUCAGAGAGGCUUUAAGUACCAUACAGAGGGCCACAGAGCUUCAGUAAUAAUUGACUUAGUUAUUUACUGUCCCUUCCCCUGGUGUAUACUAACAACGCCACCACCAUUUGGAUGUCUGUUGUUUGACUUUUCUGAUGUGGCUUUCUUGGAGUCUGAUUCUAGUUUGACAAAUACCUUGCCCCUACUUCUCAUUUUGACUCUUCUUUGGACAUAGGUAAAGGAGAUUUGUCUGCAAGGCAGCCAGCACAAAUAGCAAUACUUAGUGAAGGCCUGGAUGGGUUUGAAGCAGUGGGACCAGGAGGAGGAGAGGGUAGCCUCUGUGUGGUCUGCACAGAGCUUUUUUUGUUUUAUAACUCAUGUUUUCAGACCUUCUCCUGAUUCCUGCUAUAACUUCAUUUAGGUAUUAUUUUCGUUACCCCAAUUUUAGAGUAAUGUGUCUAGGGUUUCUCAGCUCUGAGUGGUACAGCUAGACAUACCUACAUUACCUCAUCACAAGUAACAAUUUCUUUUACAGAGUGGCUUUUUUUUUUUUUUAAUUUUUUGAGAUGGAGUCUCACUCUGUUGCCCAGGCUGAAGUGCAGUAGCAUGAUCUCGGCUCACUGCAGCCUUCACCUCCCGGGUUCAAGUGAUUCUCCUGCUUCAGCCUCCUGAGUAUCUGGGAUUACAGGCACUCGCCACCACAGCUGGCUGAUUUUUGUAUUUUUAGUAGAGAUGGGGUUUCACCGUGUUGGCCAGGCUGUUCUGAAAUUCCUGACCUCAGGUGAUCCGCCCGUUUUGGCCUCCCAAAGUGCUGGGAUUACAGACAUGAGCCACUGUGCCUGGCUACACAAAGAUUGUUAAACCUGCCUGAUUGUUGGAAUUACUAGGGGAGGUUUUCAGAAAUACAGUGGAUCCUACCACUAGAGUUUCUGAAUCAGUGAGUAGGAGAAUAUCUUUAAAAAGCCCAGUCUAGCAUGGGGAUCACUGCAUGGGUAACAUUGCCUAGCUGUUAGUCCCUACAUUUUUAGCAGAGAUUGUGAGGUCCUGUUGUCCUUUCCAUCUCCUCAGUUCCUAGUUAACCAUACCCAUCAUAUCAUGUGUGGUCACUUUGUGAACAGGAACCCAGGCCAAACUAUCCAUGGGCAUUCCACCCCUUCUCUUUCACCUCCCCCUGUAGGACUGCUCCAAGGAGCUUCUGAAACUGGAUUUUAAUUUGCAUUAGCCAAAUCUGUUCAAUGCCCGCUGCCUGAAAUCCCGUAUUAGGUCCUGAAGUAGGUGAGGAAUUUAAAAAAGUCAUAAUCUCUUUUCUUUCCCCCCCCCUUUUUUUUUUUGAGACAGAAUUUCACUCUUGUUGCCCAGGCUGGAGUGCAAUGGCACGAUCUUGGCUCACCGCAACCUCUGCCUCGGAUUCAAGCGAUUCUCCUGCCUCAGCCUCCCGAGUAGCUGGGAUUACAGGCAUGCGCCACCACACCCGGCUAAUUUUUUGUAUUUUUAGUAGAGACGGGAUUUCUCCAUGUUGGUCAGACUGAUCUCGAACGCCUGACCUCAGGUGAUCCGCCCAACUUGGCCUCCCAAAGUGCUAGGAUUGCAGGUGUGAACCACUGCGCCUGGCCAUACUCUCUUUUCUUGAUCUGUUUACUGCGCUCUGCAGUUUGGGAGGCCAUAUACACAUAUUUAAUCUGACAUUAAGUGAUGAGUAAAUGUAAAUACAUAGUUUUAUUGUAUAGGACUAAUUUGAGUGAUUCCCUUUCUGACUUAAUAGGCUAUUUUACAAGUGGGUCAUUUAUUUUUUUAUUUUUAUUUUUUUUGAGAUGGAGUCUCGCUCUGUCGCCCAGGCUGGAGUCCAGUGGCGUGUUCUCGGCUCACUGCAAGCUCCGCAUCCCAGGUUCACGCCAUUCUCCUGCCUCAGCCUCCCAGGUAGCUGGGACUACAGGCGACUGCCACCACGCCUGGCUAAUUUUUUUGUAUUUUUAGUAGAGACAGGAUUUCACCAUGUUAGCCAGGAUGGUAUCGAUCUCCUGACCUUCUGAUUUGCCUGCCUCGGCCUCCCAAAGUGCUGGGAUUACAGGCGUGAGCACCGCGCCCAGCCACAAGUGGGUCAUUUAUUCUUUUCAGAUAUGUACAUGCAGUAACCAGUAGCUUGGCAAAAUGUUUUGUAAAAAUUUUUUUUGUUGAAUAGGUAAUAACACACAAAUGAUAUAUAAAUAUAGUUCCUGAACAGUUACAUGUUUGUUUUGUUUUUUUUGAGUCAGGGUCUCGCUCUGGCCAGGCUGGAAUGCAGUAGCAUGAUCAUAGCUCACUGCAGCCUUGACCUUCUGGGUUCAGGUGAUCCUGAGUAGUAGCUGGGACUGGAGGUGUGUGCCAUCAUGCCCAGCUAAUUUUUUUUUUUUUUUUUUUUUUUUCGUGGAGACAGGGUCUUGCUGUGUUGCUCAGGCUGGUCUUGAACCACUGGCCUCAAGCAAUCUUCCCAUUUUGGCCCCUCAAAGUGCUGGGAUUACUGUGUCUGCCCGACAGUUAAAUGUUUUGAAAAUUGGCUGGGCACGGUGGCGGGUGCCUGUAGUCCCAGCUACUCGGGAGGCUGAGGCAGGAGAAUGGCGUGAACCCGGGGGAGGUGGAGCUUGCAGUGAGCUGAGAUCGCGCCACUGCACUCCAGCCUGGACAACAGAGCGAGACUCUGUCUCAAAAAAAAAAAGAAAAAAUGUUUUGAGAAUUUCUCUUAUAACUGGCUGGCUGUGGUGGCUCACGCCUGUAAUCCCAGCACUUUGGGAGGCUGAGGCAGGUGGAUCACUUGAAGUCAGGAGUUCAAUACCAGCCUGGCCAACAUGGUGAAAUUCCGUCUCUACUAAAAAUACAAAAUUAGCCAGCAUGAUGGCAUGUGCCUGUAAUCCCAGCUACUCGGGAGGCUGGGGCAAGAGAAUCGCUUGAAUCUGGGAGGCAGAGGUUGCAGUGAGCCAAGAUUGUGCUACUGCAUUCCAGCCUGGGCAACACAGCGAGACUCCCAUCUCAAAAAAAAAAAAAAAAAAAAAAAAAGGAAAUAUAUCUUAAAUAGAACUCUGUUUGAAUUUGUGCUUAUUAAUUUUUGUUUUUGUCAGCAAUUUAGGGUCCAGGCAUAGUGGCUCACACCUGUAGUCCCAGCACUUUGGGAGGCAGAGGUGGGCAGAUCACUUGAGGGCAGGAGUUAAGACCAGCCUGGCCAACAUGGUGAAACCCUGUCUCUACUAAAAAUACAAAAAUUAGCCAGGUGUGGUGGUGGGCACCUUUAAUCUCAGCUACUCGGGAGGCUGAGGCAGGAGAAUUGCUUGAACCCAGGAGGUGGAUGUUGCAGUGAGCCGAGAUGGCACUGCUGCACUCCAUUCUAGGCGACAGAGCAAGACUCUGUCUCAAAAAAAAAAAAAAGAAAAACACUAAAUGGUAAAUUUAAGCAUUAUAAAUUCUGAAUUAAUGGAGAAAUUAUUGACUAGAAAAGUAGAAAGUUAUAUCAGAAGGCCAAAUUUUGUGUAGUUCAUGCUAUUGUCACGAGUUGACUAUAAUUCCAUUAUUACUAUAAUUUUGUCUACAACCACUUACCCUGUGCAGCAACUGCUGUUUGCACUCUGGCUUGGUAAACUCUUUAGUUCAGCGGUCAUUAUCAGGAUGUCACUGGCAGCUUAAGGUAUAGGGAACAAAUAUUAGAUAACAUUUACUGAUCUUCUGCUACAUGCCAGGCACUGCAGUAAGUGUGCUAUCCAUGAGGUCCAUUCUCUUCUUAUUUGAAGCUGAGGAAACUGAAAGCAUGGCUUGCCUGAGGUCACUUCACUUCCCUCUGGUCCUGAUUGGAGUCAGGCUGGAGCUCUCCUACCCUAUAUUCUCUCUCAAAGAAAAGGAGACAGGCUAGUAGAAGACAUAGAAAAGGAAAGAGCAAAUAGGUAGGGCUUAUUCCACUCAUUCUGGGCUAACAGCCCUUUAAAGAAAAGUAUUUGGCUACAAAUUGUAGAAACACAGAGCUCGUGUGCCUAUUGGCUAUAACAGUUACAACCUUUGGAAGAGGGGUUUCGGUGUCCUUUGCCAUUUAGCAAGUAAUUGAGCAGGAGAGAAAGCAGAUGAGCAGAAAGAAGCAAAGAAGUUGAAAUAAGUAGAGUGUGGGCAGGGACUCCGCAGUGUCCUGGAGGAGGCACACCUGUCACUGGUGCCCUGGGAAGUCAUGUAUUAGAUAUUUCUUGGGAUCACAGAGGAUGUUGGGGGUGGGGAGGAUCAGGGCCAUUUUCAGGGAGCUGUUUUAAAGGAAGAAUACCUUGGGCCAAGUGGAGAAAGGCACUCCCAGACAGAGGGAACAGCAUGGAAUUAUACUCAGGAAAUGACAAGUAAUUUUAUGUGGUCAAACGUGUUAACAGUCUGUGUGGAAGGCGUUGAGUGUAGAGGUGAGGCUGGAAGUGUGGGGUCAAUGUUUUGGAAGUGGUGGUGACCCAUGGAAAGGUUUUAGCAUAGGAAAAAAAUCAUCAGAAAAGUAUUUAGAGAGAAGAGUUCUGGGGAAGAUCGCCUGUGAAGGGGAAAGGGACCAAAGGUGAGGGCACCCCUGGAAAGACUCUGGUGCGGGGCUCAAGCCACUUCCCCUCAGCUGUGAGCGUGGGAGCUCUCUAGUCUUGAGGCUCCUACAUUUAGAGAAUACACACAGGGCCGGCCGGGCGCGGUGGCUCACGCCUGUAAUCUCAGUACUUUGGGAGGCUGAGGUGGGCGGAUCACGAGGUCAGGAGAUUGAGACCAUCCUGGGUAGCAUGGCGAGGUGAAACCACGUCUCUACUAAAAAUAAAAAAAUUAGCCAGGCGUGGUGGUGGGCACCUGUAGUACCAGCUACUCGGGAGGCUGAGGCAGGAGAAUUGCUUGAAUCCGGGAGGCGGAGGUUCCAGUGAGCCAAGAUCGUGCCACUGCACUCCAGCCUGAGCGACAGAGCGAGACUCUGUCUCAAAAAAAAAAAAAAAAAAAAAAAAAGUACACACAGGGGGCUUCUGCAGACGUGCACAGAGGGAUUGGAGGCUUUUGUCAUCAUCUGAAAGAAGAAAGUGGAGGAAGGGGUAUAAUACUCACUUGACACCCAUUUUGGGGGGUAGGGAUCAGGCUUUGACCCAUCUUGCUAUAGGGAGGAUUGCAGAGGUAGGCUCUGAAGGGCAGGUGCGUCUCCCAGCCCCCACUUUUCUUUUUCUGUUUCCUCAGGCCAAACUGCAGGGGCACGUGGAACCACUGAGGAAGCACCUGGAGGCUGUGCAGAAGAUGAAAGCCAAGGAGGAGAGGCGAGUGACAGAACUGAAGAGCCAGAUGAAGUCAGAGCUGGCAGCGGUGGCCUCGGAGUUUGGGCGACUGACACGGUUUCUGGCUGAAGAGCAGGCAGGGCUGGAACGGCGUCUCAGAGAGAUGCAUGAAGCCCAGCUGGGGCGUGCGGGAGCCGCGGCUAGUCGCCUUGCAGAACAGGCCGCCCAGCUCAGCCGCCUGCUGGCUGAGGCCCAGGAGCGGAGCCAGCAGGGGGGUCUCCGGCUGCUCCAGGUGAGCGAUGUCCCCUCCCUGUUCCCCCAGCAUUCUGUGUUGGCUGUCAGGCAGUGCUUACCAAACACCUGUCCAGAGCUGCCUCUUUUCUCCCUGGGAGGAACCCACAAUGAUUGAACCUGAAGACCAAAAACAUGUUUUAAAGCUGGAAACAGAGUUAAUGUCGAAUGUGGUAUGUGUGGCGAUUAUACCCAGUGAAAAGCAUGAAGAUUCGGUUGUAGGAGAGGUUUAAAUGACAGUUGAGGAAAGGCUUUUUGACAGUGACAUCCUGAAAAAGGUGAGCAAAUCGUAUUGUGGAAAUGACAGUAUCCCUGGGCUCACAGCAGGAUGAGGCGAGUUAGGUAUGGUGAGGCAUGGGGUGGUUGAAAUGGAUGUGUGUUCAUGGAGGGCCGUGAGGGUGCUGCUUCUCCCUUCCUGCUCAGGUUCAGUCUCUGACUGGAGAUCGGGGAACGCUGUCCCUGUGCAGCUGACACUCUCUUUAUCUCUUUCUCCCUCUCCCUCUUUUUGUUUCUCUUGUUCCCAGGACAUCAAGGAGACUUUCAAUAGGUGUGUUCCCACUCUUUGCCCUUUGUGACCCAGUGGCAUCUGGUUCCCUGUCCCUGCUUCUCUUGGGUAUCCCUCUCCUCUCCUUCCUU